UAAGGAGGAAUCGUCAGUUGGCUUCGAUGGUGAUUUGUCCCGUGCAAGAGGUUAGGGUUUGGCGGAGGUGGCAGUGGCGGCAGUGGCAACAAUCGCUCUGGAUGGAAAUCCGGUGAUUGGAUUUGCACUAGGUCAAAAGGAUAAAUUUUGCCGAGGGGAAGAUCUGAUUCUAGAAGUAAGGAAUUUGCAGCUUGAUUUUUGAAAUAGGCUCAAAAUUGAGAUCUUGUUGGAAAUUUUUUAAUUUUUGUAAGAGCAUUUAAAUAUCCAAUGUGCUGAUUGGUGAAUUUUAGAUUUUAUUUUAUUAUUUUAUUUUUUU